rnacentral:piRNA from 1 species
UCCCNGUGCUUUUUAUAUAGCUGACAGUGC